AUAACUAUCACUAAAUUAUGAUAUUUGUAGAUAAUUAUAAUUUGAUUAAACGAAUCAAUAUUCUUUUUGGGAAAACUAAUAAUAGCUGCUAUUGUUUGUAUAGUUGAUUUAUAUUAAGUACUUCUUACAACUGCAAUCCGGCCUAAACAAAAGCAAAUACCGUGUGUAAGUGAUCUAUAUAGCAAUUGAUUUUUAUGCAAACCUGUACAGUCACCAGGACUCAACAUUAGAGGUGGCGACAUACAGUCAGUAUCUAGGAGGCGCCUACCUAUCAAAAAGUGGAUGCCAAAUAUAUAAAUAUCUUAAAAGAUAUUUUCAUUAAAAGUACAAGCAAAGUCAGACAGACAGGCAAAUGCAUAAAAAUCAACAGAGACGUAAGACAAGGUGACCCAUUAUACUUUACCUACCUUAAGUGGUAGGACUUUAAGCAAACUUGUCUUAGUUAGGUACCACUAACUCAUCAGAUAUUGUAUUGCAAAACAGCAAUACUUGGUAUUGUUGUAUUCUGGUUUGAAGGGUGAGUGAGCCAGUGUAAUUACAGGCACAAGGGACAUAACAUCUCAGUUCCCAAAGUUGGAAGUGCAUUGGCGAUAUAAGCGAUGGUUAACAUUUCUUAAGGCUACUAUAGGAUAAAAUAAAGGAUCUACCUUUGUUAACACUAGGAUUGAAUGUAGAUGGAAGGUUCAUGAGUCAUCUUAAGUUUGUAGGCGAUAUUGCUUAGUUGUCAGAAAAUACUAAAAAACUCACUAUUAUAAUAAAUGAUCUACAGGCUGCAAGCAAUCAUGUUAGUUUAGAAAUGAACCUCAGCAAAACAAAAAUCAUAUACUUAUCUUAAUAAACAAUAAGCUUCUUGAAUAUGUACAAGAAUAUAUUUACAACAUGAAAAGAAAUUUAGAAGAAAUAAACAGAAGAAUAGCUCAAUCUGGAAGAAAUUUUGGGCCCACAAAGAGAUUUUAAAAUCUCAGCUCCCAAUGGAAACCAACAAAACUAAGGUGACUAAUGCCAUACUCUUUGCGCAAAUGGUAAAAUGGAAAUAGGCUGGCUGGCUAUCUAGCAAGAUACACUUACAAAAGAUGGACAAUAACAACAUGGAAGGAACCAAAUGGAAAUAAAGAGGCAGAGACUGACAAUGCACCAGAUGGCAAGAUGCCAGUGCAAAUUGCAGGCAGAAACUGGAUUGAGACAGCAAAAGAAAGAGGCAUUUGGCAUUCUUUGAUGGCUUUUACCUGAAGGGGGCCAUGUUAUUACUUUUGUAUGGAAUAGAUAAAGCUUUAUUAUUAUUAUAAUAACUUCUGACAACUCUCAUCAUCAAUGUUGUCAUGAAAGAACAUUUCUAACCAAGAUGAAGUAUUACCUUUAACAGUAAUGUUUGAACUUAAACACAAUAAUGAAUCGAAAAGUUCCUGUAAUAAAUCAAAAAUAUGCAAAAAAAAAAUUACAGAUGUAUUUUAUUUUUCUUAUUCUUCCAAAAAAAUUAAUAUUUUCUUGAUAUAAUAACAAAAAAUCAGCCGCGUCAAAUUUAGUUCCAAGAAUAUCUUUUAAUUUUGCGAGCAAGUGAAUUCAAUAGAGGCUAAGCCGGGAGAAUACGGUGGGUGGUCAAGGUCAACGAAGCCAGCACUGCGCAAUAUGUAAACGCAACUUUCGAUCGAUAAGUAUAUAAGCGUUAUUGUGUAGGAGCAAUACGCCCAAUGUAUAUAAUUGGCCCAGAACAUAAAGCCAAUGUUGGCCCAAUGUAUACUAUACUUUCGAGGCCUAAUAUUCUCUAUUAAUCUAUGAUUCCAUCGACAACUUUAUAAAGUCUGAUAAUUAUAAAGUAGCAAGAAUUAUUUCAAAAACUUAUAAGGAAUUUUGUGUAGACAGCCUUAACUUAAUUAAA